rnacentral:rRNA from 1 species
GUUAUAGGAUCAAGCGAAUAAGUGCAUGUGGUGGAUGCCUUGGCGAUUACAGGCGAUGAAGGACGUACAAGCCUGCGAAAAGCUCUGGGGAGCUGGCAAUGAAGCUUUGAUCCAGAGAUGUCCGAAUGGGGAAACCCACUCCGCGAGGAGUAUCCCACGCUGAAUACAUAGGCGUGUGGAGGCGAACCCGGCGAACUGAAACAUCUAAGUAGCCGGAGGAAAAGAAAUCAACCGAGAUUCCCAGAGUAGUGGCGAGCGAAAUGGGAGCAGCCGGCAAGUGAUAGCGAUCGUGUUAGCGGAAGCUUCUGGAAAGUGGCGCCGUAGUGGGUGACAGCCCCGUACGCGAAAACCUGAUCGUGGUACCAAGCUUGCGACAAGUAGGGCGGGGCACGAGAAAUCCUGUCUGAAGAUGGGGGGACCAUCCUCCAAGGCUAAAUACUCGUAAUCGACCGAUAGUGAACCAGUACCGUGAGGGAAAGGCGAAAAGAACCCCGGGAGGGGAGUGAAAUAGAUCCUGAAACCGCAUGCAUACAAACAGUGGGAGCCCCCUCGUGGGGUGACUGCGUACCUUUUGUAUAAUGGGUCAGCGACUUACGUUCAGUAGCGAGCUUAACCGCAUAGGGGAGGCGUAGGGAAACCGAGUCCGAAUAGGGCGCCUAGUUGCUGGACGUAGACCCGAAACCAAGUGAUCUAUCCAUGGCCAGGAUGAAGGUGCGGUAACACGCACUGGAGGUCCGAACCCACUAAUGUUGAAAAAUUAGGGGAUGAGCUGUGGAUAGGGGUGAAAGGCUAAACAAACUUGGAAAUAGCUGGUUCUCUCCGAAAACUAUUUAGGUAGUGCCUCAAGUAUCACCGACGGGGGUAAAGCACUGUUAUGGCUAGGGGGUCAUCGCGAUUUACCAAACCAUUGCAAACUCAGAAUACCGUUGAGUGCGAGCUUGGGAGACAGACAUCGGGUGCUAACGUCCGGUGUCGAGAGGGAAACAACCCAGACCGCCGAUUAAGGUCCCAAAGACAUGGUUAAGUGGGAAACGAGGUGGGAAGGCUCAGACAGCCAGGAGGUUGGCUUAGAAGCAGCCAUCCUUUAAAGAAAGCGUAAUAGCUCACUGGUCGAGUCGUCCUGCGCGGAAGAUGUAACGGGGCUCAAACCAUGCACCGAAAUCGCGGAUAUCCGCAAGGAUAUGGUAGGAGAGCGUUCUGUAGGCCGUUGAAGGUGUCUCGAGAGGGAUGCUGGAGGUAUCAGAAGUGCGAAUGCUGACAUGAGUAGCGAUAAAGGGAGUGAAAAGCUCCCUCGCCGAAAGCCCAAGGUUUCCUGCGCAACGUUCAUCGGCGCAGGGUGAGUCGGCCCCUAAGGCGAGGCUGAAAAGCGUAGUCGAUGGGAAACGGGUUAAUAUUCCUGUACCUCUUUGUAAUGCGAUGGGGGGACGGAGAAGGUUAGGUCAGCCGGGUGUUGGACGUCCCGGUUCAAGCGUGUAGGCAGGUCUCUUAGGCAAAUCCGGGAGAUCAAUGCCGAGGCGUGAUAACGAGUGGUCUCUGACUGCGAAGUGAUUGAUACCAUGCUUCCAAGAAAAGCCUCUAAGCUUCAGUUACAAGGAGACCGUACCGCAAACCGACACAGGUGGGCAGGAUGAAAAUUCUAAGGCGCUUGAGAGAACUCAGGAGAAGGAACUCGGCAAAUUAGCACCGUAACUUCGGGAAAAGGUGCGCCCUGAUAGGUUGUAGCCCCUCGCGGGUGAAGGCUGAAAGGGUUGCAGUGAAAUGGUGGCUGCGACUGUUUAAUAAAAACACAGCACUCUGCAAACACGAAAGUGGACGUAUAGGGUGUGACGCCUGCCCGGUGCCGGAAGGUUAAUUGAUGGAGUGAGAGCUCUUGAUCGAAGCCCCGGUAAACGGCGGCCGUAACUAUAACGGUCCUAAGGUAGCGAAAUUCCUUGUCGGGUAAGUUCCGACCUGCACGAAUGGCGUAACGAUGGCCACACUGUCUCCUCCUGAGACUCAGCGAAGUUGAAGUGGUUGUGAAGAUGCAAUCUCCCCGCGGUUAGACGGAAAGACCCCAUGAACCUUUACUGUAGCUUUGCAUUGGACUUUGAACCGACUUGUGUAGGAUAGGUGGGAGGCUGUGAAUCCGGGACGCUAGUUCUGGUGGAGCCAACCUUGAAAUACCACCCUGGUUUGUUUGAGGUUCUAACCACGGCCCGUGAAUCCGGGUCUGGGACCGUGCAUGGUAGGCAGUUUGACUGGGGCGGUCUCCUCCUAAAGUGUAACGGAGGAGUACGAAGGUACGCUAGGUACGGUCGGAAAUCGUGCUGAUAGUGCAAUGGCAAAAGCGUGCUUGACUGCGAGACCCACACGUCGAGCAGGUACGAAAGUAGGUCAUAGUGAUCCGGUGGUUCUGUAUGGAAGGGCCAUCGCUCAACGGAUAAAAGGUACUCUGGGGAUAACAGGCUUAUACCGCCCAAGAGUUCAUAUCGACGGCGGUGUUUGGCACCUCGAUGUCGGCUCAUCACAUCCUGGGGCUGUAGUCGGUCCCAAGGGUAUGGCUGUUCGCCAUUUAAAGUGGUACGUGAGCUGGGUUUAAAACGUCGUGAGACAGUUUGGUCCCUAUCUGCCGUGGGCGUUGGAAAUUUGAAGGGGGCUGCUCCUAGUACGAGAGGACCGGAGUGGACGAACCUCUGGUGUACCGGUUAUGACGCCAGUCGUAUCGCCGGGUAGCUAAGUUCGGAAGAGAUAAACGCUGAAAGCAUCUAAGCGUGAAACUCGCCUUAAGAUGAGAUUUCCCCGGGGACUCGAUCCCCCUCAAGGGCCGUGGUAGACCACCACGUUGAUAGGCUGGAUGUGGAAGCGCAGCAAUGCGUUGAGCUAACCAGUACUAAUCGCCCGUGCGGCUUGAUCCUAUAACCUUGCG